CGGCUCAGCAGAUACUGCCACAGCGGGCUGUCCUCGGGGGGCAGCAGGCGCUUCUCUCGCCGAGAUCGCCACGGAGGGCACCGUCUCCCUGCCGGAGAGGGGGUGAUGGGUCAGAGCCGGGGGCUCCAGGCGCCAGGGCGCCAGCGUCUCAGCUCACAAGGAAGGGAGCAGAGUGUUACCUCUGAAUCUGCUACAGGGCCUUUUCCUGGAAGGCCUGGGCCUGGAGACAAAAUCCAGAAGCUGAGGCUCAAAGAGCUGAAUGAACUGCUGGAGGUCACACAAUCAGGAAGAGGUGCUGCCUGGAUCUUCUGUCUCUGGGCCCUUUGGAGCAGGUGGGGUUCCAAAGACACAUGCUGCCAAUUUCCUGGGGGGCAAGGGGGAGGGUAGAUAUGUACAUUACCCUCUUCCCAGGCCCCAGAAACGUCCAGGUCCCAGAUCCUGCCAGCCAGACUCCCCUUGGGCCUUCGAACACUGGCAGCCUCUCUGGGCCCAGAUCUGUCACGCUGGCACCAACCAUGCCCCAGGCCUGACUCCAUCCAUCCCACUAAUGCGGGCACAGACUGCUCAGGCAGCUCCUGAGGCGGCUCAGCGGCGCUGAAUAAUUCAGGCCUGUGUAAUGGGAUAAUGAAUUUACUGACAACCCAGUGUAGUCUCGGUACUGACAUUUCAAGAAAUACUGACUCCCCAGGCCCGUUCAGCAGGAUGGAGACGUACACGUGCCAAGGAGCCGUUGCUCUGCCUGCCUCGUGGGGUUCAGGCCUGACUGAGGGGAGACCCUACUUUGGUCUCACUGGUUCUUCAACUGCUUGGGCAAGUGGGGAGACUGGGGGCAGGGGGCUGCCUGGCGGGAACUUUGGGGGGAAGUGGAAGUGGACUCACGGAAGCUUGGGAGAGCAGAGCUGGAGAGGAACUCAGCCACCCUUGGUUCCGCAGGCCCAUUUUAGGAGCAGGGACACUGAGGCUGCAGAAGGGACAGGCCUAUGCUCCUGUACACCGUCCCGUGGCUGGAAUGCUGUGGAUGACGUGGGGCUCUGGGGAGGGGACCUGCUUGUUUUCCUUCUCCCUGCUGGUUUUCCCGUCCCCUCGCUUCUGGGGGGAAGUCUCGCAACUGCCCCUUCACAGGAGGCGGGUCCUCAGCUGGGCGAGAACCGCCCACCCAGAGGCUGUGUGCAGACUGUGGCCAGUGACUGGCAGACGUGGUGGUACAGAAGGCAACCCCAAGCGUCAGGUAGGAUGAACGCUGCAAUGUUGUCCGUGCUCCAGAACCUUCAGAGGGACCAGGCUGGGGCUAGACUCCAGCUGACACCAUAUUCUGGCUUAGCGUCUACCCAUUCCCCAUCUUGCCUCCCUCACUCCUCUUCUCAGAGCCUCCGCCAGUAAAUCAUCUGGAUAGGAAUCCCUGGCCCAGGCUCUGCCUCUGGGGGACCCACCUAAGACAGCUGCCUUUCCUGGUCAGAGCCCUCCCUGCCCUCUGGACUCCCCCCAGAGCACUAAGAGGGGCUCAGAGCCAGGAAUCCUUGGCCCUGGCUCUGCUGUGUGACUCCAAGGAAAUCACUUGUCUGCCCUGGGCCUCGGUUCCCCAUUUGUAUGGAGGAGGGGGAGGCUUUCUCAGGUCCCUUCCGGCUCUGAAGGUUGUGAUAGGACCUGAGCUGCCUGGAAACUUCUCCUGACCCUUCCUAGCCCCACAGGUGCAUGGAGUGCUACCAUUGGGGCAUCACCUUUUCUCUGAAGGCCUUUUCAAAAUACAAAAGCCUCUGAGGUGAGAGUGAGUUUCGUAUUACAUGACCAUGCUGCAGGGCAGAAUCUCUCAAGGUGGCGUCCUUGGAUCAUCUGCAAUGGAAUCCAUCACCUGAAGGGCUGUUUAUUAGUUCAUGGGGUGUUCUUCUUUUGAAUGUGGUACAUGAUGUCUGGAGCUUCAGCAGCUAUCUUUCAGCCAUAAGGAAACAUCAUGAGAUGUAAACAACAAGCUAAGGAUGGUGAAGCAAAAAUACAGAAAGAAACUGGUUUUCAAUGGCAUUUCUGAAUCAUUGCACAGAGCCUGAAAACUACCUCUAG